GUCGAACGCUUCUUUUUCCACCGGAGCUUGCUCCACCGGAAAAAGAGGAGUGGCGAACGGGUGAGUAACACGUGGGUAACCUGCCCAUCAGAAGGGGAUAACACUUGGAAACAGGUGCUAAUACCGUAUAACAAUCGAAACCGCAUGGUUUUGAUUUGAAAGGCGCUUUCGGGUGUCGCUGAUGGAUGGACCCGCGGUGCAUUAGCUAGUUGGUGAGGUAACGGCUCACCAAGGCCACGAUGCAUAGCCGACCUGAGAGGGUGAUCGGCCACAUUGGGACUGAGACACGGCCCAAACUCCUACGGGAGGCAGCAGUAGGGAAUCUUCGGCAAUGGACGAAAGUCUGACCGAGCAACGCCGCGUGAGUGAAGAAGGUUUUCGGAUCGUAAAACUCUGUUGUUAGAGAAGAACAAGGAUGAGAGUAACUGUUCAUCCCUUGACGGUAUCUAACCAGAAAGCCACGGCUAACUACGUGCCAGCAGCCGCGGUAAUACGUAGGUGGCAAGCGUUGUCCGGAUUUAUUGGGCGUAAAGCGAGCGCAGGCGGUUUCUUAAGUCUGAUGUGAAAGCCCCCGGCUCAACCGGGGAGGGUCAUUGGAAACUGGGAGACUUGAGUGCAGAAGAGGAGAGUGGAAUUCCAUGUGUAGCGGUGAAAUGCGUAGAUAUAUGGAGGAACACCAGUGGCGAAGGCGGCUCUCUGGUCUGUAACUGACGCUGAGGCUCGAAAGCGUGGGGAGCAAACAGGAUUAGAUACCCUGGUAGUCCACGCCGUAAACGAUGAGUGCUAAGUGUUGGAGGGUUUCCGCCCUUCAGUGCUGCAGCUAACGCAUUAAGCACUCCGCCUGGGGAGUACGACCGCAAGGUUGAAACUCAAAGGAAUUGACGGGGGCCCGCACAAGCGGUGGAGCAUGUGGUUUAAUUCGAAGCAACGCGAAGAACCUUACCAGGUCUUGACAUCCUUUGACCACUCUAGAGAUAGAGCUUCCCCUUCGGGGGCAAAGUGACAGGUGGUGCAUGGUUGUCGUCAGCUCGUGUCGUGAGAUGUUGGGUUAAGUCCCGCAACGAGCGCAACCCUUAUUGUUAGUUGCCAUCAUUCAGUUGGGCACUCUAGCAAGACUGCCGGUGACAAAC
rnacentral:rRNA from 1 species